ACUCCUACGGGAGGCAGCAGUGGGGAAUAUUGCACAAUGGGCGCAAGCCUGAUGCAGCCAUGCCGCGUGUGUGAAGAAGGCCUUCGGGUUGUAAAGCACUUUCAGUCGUGAGGAAGGUAGUGUAGUUAAUAGCUGCAUUAUUUGACGUUAGCGACAGAAGAAGCACCGGCUAACUCCGUGCCAGCAGCCGCGGUAAUACGUAGGGUGCGAGCGUUAAUCGGAAUUACUGGGCGUAAAGCGUGCGCAGGCGGUCUUGUAAGACAGAGGUGAAAUCCCUGGGCUCAACCUAGGAAUGGCCUUUGUGACUGCAAGGCUGGAGUGCGGCAGAGGGGGAUGGAAUUCCGCGUGUAGCAGUGAAAUGCGUAGAUAUGCGGAGGAACACCGAUGGCGAAGGCAGUCCCCUGGGCCUGCACUGACGCUCAUGCACGAAAGCGUGGGGAGCAAACAGGAUUAGAUACCCUGGUAGCUA
rnacentral:rRNA from 1 species